CCUACGGGUGGCAGCAGUGGGGAAUAUUGGACAAUGGGGGAAACCCUGAUCCAGCAAUGCCGCGUGAGUGAAGAAGGCCUUAGGGUUGUAAAACUCUUUCACCGGGGAAGAUGAUGACGGUACCCGGAGAAGAAGCCCCGGCUAACUCCGUGCCAGCAGCCGCGGUAAUACGGAGGGGGCUAGCGUUGUUCGGAAUUACUGGGCGUAAAGCGCACGUAGGCGGUUUUCCAAGUCAGAUGUGAAAUCCCCGGGCUUAACCUGGGAACUGCAUUUGAUACUGGUUGACUAGAGGCCGGGAGAGGGUAGUGGAAUUCCCAGUGUAGAGGUGAAAUUCGUAGAUAUUGGGAAGAACACCGGUGGCGAAGGCGGCUACCUGGACCGGUACUGACGCUGAGGUGCGAAAGCGUGGGGAGCAAACAGGAUUAGAUACCCGAGUAGUC
rnacentral:rRNA from 1 species